rnacentral:rRNA from 1 species
UACGGGGGGGCAAGCGUUGUUCGGAAUUACUGGGCGUAAAGGGCUCGUAGGCGGCCAACUAAGUCAGACGUGAAAUCCCUCGGCUUAACCGGGGAACUGCGUCUGAUACUGGAUGGCUUGAGUUUGGGAGAGGGAUGCGGAAUUCCAGGUGUAGCGGUGAAAUGCGUAGAUAUCUGGAGGAACACCGGUGGCGAAGGCGGCAUCCUGGACCAACACUGACGCUGAGUGAGCGAAAGCCAGGGAGCAACGGG